rnacentral:rRNA from 1 species
CCCCUAGAUGUUCUGGGCCGCACGCGCGCUACAAUGAUGAAUUCAACGAGUUUAUAACCUUGGUUGAAAAGCCUGGGUAAUCUUUUGAACUUUCGUCGUGAUGGGGCUAGACCCUUGCAAUUAUUGGUCUCCAACGAGGAAUUCCUAGUAAACGCAAGUCAUCAGCUUGCAUUGAUUACGUCCCUGCCCUUUGUACACACCGCCCGUCGCACCUACCGAUUGAAUGGUCCGGUGAAAUCUUCGGAUUGAGACUUUGAUUUCUUCACGGAAAACGCUGUUUUAAAAAGUUGAUUAAACCUUACCAUUUAGAGGAAGGUGAAGUCGUAACA